rnacentral:rRNA from 1 species
UACGAGAGGCCCAAACGUUAUUCGGAUUUACUGGGCUUAAAGAGUUCGUAGGCGGCGCAGAAAGUAGGGUGUGAAAGCCCUCGGCUCAACCGAGGAAUUGCGCUCUAAACUACUGCGCUCGAGGAACCUAGAGGUGAGCAGAACUGAUGGUGGAGCGGUGAAAUGCGUUGAUAUCAUUAGGAACUCCGGUGGCGAAGGCGGCUCGCUGGAUCUCUUCUGACGCUGAGGCGCGAAAGCCAGGGGAGCAAACGAG